GACGAACGCUGGCGGCGUGCUUAACACAUGCAAGUCGAACGAAGAGCGAUGGAAGCUUGCUUCUAUCAAUCUUAGUGGCGAACGGGUGAGUAACGCGUAAUCAACCUGCCCUUCAGAGGGGGACAACAGUUGGAAACGACUGCUAAUACCGCAUACGAUCUAAUCUCGGCAUCGAGGAUAGAUGAAAGGUGGCCUCUACAUGUAAGCUAUCACUGAAGGAGGGGAUUGCGUCUGAUUAGCUAGUUGGAGGGGUAACGGCCCACCAAGGCGAUGAUCAGUAGCCGGUCUGAGAGGAUGAACGGCCACAUUGGGACUGAGGCACGGCCCAGACUCCUACGGGAGGCAGCAGUGGGGAAUCUUCCGCAAUGGACGAAAGUCUGACGGAGCAACGCCGCGUGAGUGAUGACGGCCGUCGGGUUGUAAAGCUCUGUUAAUCGGGACGAAAGGCCUUCUUGCGAAUAGUGAGAAGGAUUGACGGUACCGGAAUAGAAAGCCACGGCUAACUACGUG
rnacentral:rRNA from 1 species